rnacentral:antisense_RNA from 1 species
CUUGAUCGAGCCGAGCCACAGUGGACGGUCCGAAGGCCGGUUCUGGCCGUACGUCGCGAUCAGCGCCUGCGCCUC